rnacentral:rRNA from 13 species
ACACCGAAUGACCAAGGUUUCCUCAGCUAUGCUAAUCAGCUGAGGGUUAGUCGGGUCCUAAGGCGAACCCGAAAGGGGUAGUCGAUGGCCAAGCAGUUAAUAUUCUGCUACUUGCCCCACGUUAAAAGCGGACGGAGGCGAAAAGUUGGUGCGUACUGACGGAAUAGUACGUUGAAUCCAGUGGUAACACGGAGAUAGUACACAAAAGCUACGGCCGGCGUGAUAAUCCAGCGGAUCGACUUCCAAGAAAAGCGAGUGGUGGCAACCCGUACCGUAAACCGACACAGGUAGUUGGGAUGAGAAUUCUAAGGUGCUCGAGAGAUUCAUGGCUAAGGAACUAGGCAAAAUAGGCCCGUAACUUCGGGAGAAGGGUCGCCCACAGCAAUGUGGGCCGCAGUGAAAAGGUCCAGGCGACUGUUUAUCAAAAACACAGGACUCUGCUAAAUCGAAAGAUGAUGUAUAGGGUCUGACACCUGCCCGGUGCCGGAAGGUUAAUUGAUGGGGUUAGUUUUCGGACGAAGCUCUUGAUCGAAGCCCCGGUAAACGGCGGCCGUAACAAUAACGGUCCUAAGGUAGCGAAAUUCCUUGUCGGGUAAGUUCCGACCUGCACGAAUGGUGUAACCAUGGCCACGCUGUCUCCACCCGAGACUCAGUGAAAUUGAAAUCGCAGUGAAGAUGCUGUGUACCCGCACCUAGACGGAAAGACCCCGUGAACCUUUACUACAGCUUGGCACUGAACAUUGAACCUACAUGUGUAGGAUAGGUGGGAGGCUUUGAAGCACAGUCGCUAGAUUGUGUGGAGCCGUCCUUGAAAUACCACCCUUGUAUGUUUGAUGUUCUAACAUUGUUCCCUUAUCGGGAAUGUGGACAGUGUCUGGUGGGUAGUUUGACUGGGGCGGUCUCCUCCCAAAUAGUAACGGAGGAGCACGAAGGUUAGCUAAUCACGGUCGGACAUCGUGAGGUUAGUGCAAUGGCAUAAGCUAGCUUAACUGCGAGACAGACACGUCGAGCAGGUACGAAAGUAGGUCAUAGUGAUCCGGUGGUUCUGUAUGGAAGGGCCAUCGCUCAACGGAUAAAAGGUACUCCGGGGAUAACAGGCUGAUACCGCCCAAGAGUUCAUAUCGACGGCGGUGUUUGGCACCUCGAUGUCGGCUCAUCUCAUCCUGGGGCUGGAGCAGGUCCCAAGGGUACGGCUGUUCGCCGUUUAAAGAGGUACGUGAGCUGGGUUUAGAACGUCGUGAGACAGUUCGGUCCCUAUCUGCCGUGGGUGUAGGAUACUUGAGAGGAGUUGCCCCUAGUACGAGAGGACCGGGGUGAACGAUCCACUGGUGGACCUGUUAUCGUGCCAACGGUAGUGCAGGGUAGCUAUGAUCGGAAAGGAUAACCGCUGAAGGCAUCUAAGCGGGAAGCCCCCCUCAAAACAAGGUAUCCCUGAGGGCCGUGGAAGACCACCACGUCAAUAGGCCGGAGAUGUAAGCGCAGCAAUGCGUUCAGUUGACCGGUACUAAUCGCCC